GACGAACGCUGGCGGCGUGCUUAACACAUGCAAGUCGAACGGAAAGGCCCUGCUUUUGUGGGGUGCUCGAGUGGCGAACGGGUGAGUAACACGUGAGUAACCUGCCCUUGACUUUGGGAUAACUUCAGGAAACUGGGGCUAAUACCGGAUAGGAGCUCCUGCUGCAUGGUGGGGGUUGGAAAGUUUCGGCGGUUGGGGAUGGACUCGCGGCUUAUCAGCUUGUUGGUGGGGUAGUGGCUUACCAAGGCUUUGACGGGUAGCCGGCCUGAGAGGGUGACCGGCAACAUUGGGACUGAGAUACGACCCAGACUCCUACGGGAGGCAGCAGUGGGGAAUAUUGCACAAUGGGCGGAAGCCUGAUGCAGCAACGCCGCGUGCGGGAUGACGGCCUUCGGGUUGUAAACCGCUUUCGCCUGUGACGAAGCGUGAGUGACGGUAAUGGGUAAAGAAGCACCGGCUAACUACGUG
rnacentral:rRNA from 1 species